UACGUAGGGACCGAGCGUUGUCCGGAUUCAUUGGGCGUAAAGGGUGCGUAGGCGGCGGGGCAAGUCUGAUGUGAAAUCCCGGGGCUCAACCCCGGAACUGCAGUGGGUACGGGCAGACUGGAGUGCGGUAGGGGGAGAAUGGAAUUCCUGGUGUAGCGGUGGAAUGCGCAGAUAUCAGGAGGAACACCGGUGGCGAAGGCGGGUCUCUGGGCCGUAACUGACGCUGAGGAGCGAAAGCAUGGGGAGCGAACAGG
rnacentral:rRNA from 1 species